UUAGGAUGCUCCAGCCGAGAGGGGGGGGGGGGGGGUGCAAAGUGUUCGUCAUCAAUUUGAAUAGUGAAAACUGGGCACAACUAUUUUGUGUAAAAAUCGUAGAGAACGAACGCAAAAAUGCACCGACGCCUUCUUUAUCUAUGGCUCCAAUCGAGCGCGCCCAUAAGAGCCAAUGAGGUGUGAUACAC
ensembl:ncRNA C04C11.12 ncRNA